UACGUAGGCAGCGAGCGUUGUUCGGAGUUACUGGGCGUAAAGAGUGCGUAGGCGGUUUUCUAAGUUUGGUGUGAAAUCUCCCGGCUUAACUGGGAGGGUGCGCCGAAAACUGGAAGGCUUGAGUAUGGGAGAGGUAAGCGGAAUUCCUGGUGUAGCGGUGAAAUGCGUAGAUAUCAGGAGGAACACCGGUGGCGAAGGCGGGUCUCUGGGCCGAUACUGACGCUGAGGAGCGAAAGCGUGGGGAGCAAACAGG
rnacentral:rRNA from 1 species